UGCGGGCGGUGGCCUAAUACAUGCAAGUCGAACGCACUGUGGUUCAACUGAUUUGAAGAGCUUGCUCUGAUAUGACGAUGAACAUUGCAGUGAGUGGCGAACGGGUGAGUAACACGUGGGAAACCUACCUCUUAGCGGGGGAUAACAUCUGGAAACAGAUGCUAAUACCGCAUAACACUAGCAACCGCAUGGUUGCUAUUUGAAAGAUGGUUCUGCUAUCACUAAGAGAUGGUCCCGCGGCGCAUUAGUUAGUUGGUGAGGUAAUGGCUCACCAAGACGAUGAUGCGUAGCCGAGUUGAGAGACUGAUCGGCCACAAUGGGACUGAGACACGGCCCAUACUCCUACGGGAGGCAGCAGUAGGGAAUCUUCCACAAUGGACGAAAGUCUGAUGGAGCAACGCCGCGUGUGUGAUGAAGGGUUUCGGCUCGUAAAACACUGUUGUAAGAGAAGAAUAGCAUUGAGAGUAACUGCUCAGUGUCUGACGGUAUCUUACCAGAAAGGAACGGCUAAAUACGUGCCAGCAGCCGCGGUAAUACGUAUGUUCCAAGCGUUAUCCGGAUUUAUUGGGCGUAAAGCGAGCGCAGACGGUUAUUUAAGUCCGAAGUGAAAGCCCACAGCUUAACUGUGGAAGUGCUUUGGAAACUGGAUAACUUGAGUGCAGUAGAGGAGAGUGGAAUUCCAUGUGUAGCGGUGAAAUGGCGUAAGAUA
rnacentral:rRNA from 1 species